GACGAUGGCGCCAAAGAAGUGAGGGAAGUGCUUCUUGAUGCGCGUGAUGGCGGUUCUGCAGGCGGUGGGCGGGUCUACGCCGGCUCUCAUCUGCUCCACAGCCAGUUGACGAGGCUGUGGGUCACAUGAUGUGGACGAAGCUGUCUGGUGUUGCGCAAUACGCGCCCGGGUUCCUUCCGGACAAACGAGGGACUAACGAGCUAUCGCGAGGAGGGGAAGAACCGGUAGCAGAGACGCGGACUUCUGGAGCUAAUGAUUUUUCCAGUUCACAAAUAGCGAAACGUUCCUGUGUGACUUCAGGCUGCCUACGAACAAUCCAGGUUCUGAUGCUCAAGGCCACCACGCUAACACCACGCUAACACCACGCUAACACCACGCUAACACCACGCUCACACUCUCUGGCAUCCUUGAGUUGUAGCCAGUUUAAUGUUUUCUCCUGGUAUGUUUUUCCAGGGAUAAUUUCAGCAAAAUCUGUAUUCUUGCAGACAGUCUGUCCAUAUUACUCAAGUUUAUUUCCUCCUGUUGUUUUCUUUUUGCACCCUAACCGUGCACAAACAUCAGCAGCACUGAAAAAAAGAAGAAAAAAAAAAAGAAAAUCUCAAUGUUUAAUUUGCUGGCACAUUUCUCCCUGCAAAUUAAGGACAACCGUCGUCUCUUAAUGAUAAUGUUCAGCUUUAAAUGUCUUCUGACCAGCCCACACUGCCCAAUUUCCCCGUGUUUACGAGCGGAGAAUGAACCCCUCAUAAUGUAUUUAAAACAGUGACAGAUGUGCAGUGGCAGCGUGCGGACACGUUUCUCUCCGCACUUGAUUCUGGUUGCUGAAUUUUUUUUUUUUUUUGGUUGUCUCAAUUUGUUUGCCCAUCUGCUCCUGAGUCUGUAUUUAAACGGGUUUGUCAUGGACCGUGUUUAUCCCUUUAAGAGCAAUUUAAAGUUUCAUGCCAUUGUCUCGUUAUUAUCUGGCUAUUCGGCCAUAAUUAAGCCUGGAUGGAUGAGAACAGGGUGUGCGGUAAAUAGAACUACUGUCGACGGCCCGUUCCUUCCACUGCUUAAAAUGCACAUACCAAGCUGUGAAACAGCCUGUGGAAAAUUAAGCUUUUUCCUAGACAAUCAUCAUCAUCAUCAUCACCUCCACCACCAUAAUCACCACUAUCAUCGUCAUAAUCACCACCACCACCUUAAUCACCACCAUCAUCAUCAUAAUCAUCACCACCACCUUCAUCACCACUAUCAUCAUCAUCAUCAUCACCACCACCACCAUCAUCAUCAUCUUAGUUAAGGUUUUUUUUUUUAACAUAUUAAAAAACAGAUGCAAACGUACAAACCUGAAUAUAUCCAAAUGUAAAAGUUUGUCAAUAUUUUGGUUACGCUAGCAGAACAUUUCAUUUCUACACCGUAAUAUGUUCAUUGUUCAAUCAGCUUAUUCAUAUUAGUCUCAUGUGUACUCUGUUAGAAUCCAAUUAACACUGGCCAUUUUACUGUGGAUUAAACAUUCAUAUGCUACAGAACAUGUUCUGCUAAUUUUGCUCACAAUAUCCAUGUCAGUUACAUGUUUUACAUUCACUUAAGAAUCUAAUGUUGAGGGUCUCAGCAACACAAAGCCCAAAUGCAAGCUCAUUGGUCUGUUUAUUCCAUAGAGUGCUUCCCUCUUCCACCAAAGUUGAACAGGCCCCGCGAUAUGAUUUGCAAUAUCCUCUGAAAUUUUCUACAGUUACACGUUACCAUGCAUUGCUUGUUUUAGAGAACAGAUGUUUUAGCAUUUUGGUCAAGCCCAGUCAUGCAGUUACAGGUAUGUGCAAAGAAGCAAGAUCUAAAAAAAAAAAGAAAAUUGAAAAAAAAAAAACUCGUUUAAAUGACGUUGAUAUUCUUGUACGACGAGGGGGAAACUUUGCGAGUUUUCCGCGUCGCGCAUCUUUUUUCCCUUAAAUGCUUAUAUUGGGGACCAUAAAUGAACGGGCCCACGAAGCAGAAGUCGUGUGCGGCCCAGCUGGGAAAGUGCCUUCGCCGCAGCAGUUUUUACGCGCUAACGGGGCUCAGAGGACCGAAUCUGCCGUCUGCAGCAGGGCUGGAACGGCAUUAACGGGCUCCGGGAAGCCAUCGUCUCCCGCCCUCCCCCCUCGAUGAAUUUACAUUAGCGGGGGCACCUCGGUGUUCGGCUUUUACUAAAUGUUUCCCUGGCCACGAUAAAGGGGCCUAAAAUAUCCUCCAUAAACCACCGCAGCUUUCAAUUAACGCUCCGAGACACCAGUGGCUUGUGCAGCGCCGCUGUUUGUCUCCCCUCUAAUUAAAGAAUCGGAUGUUAUAAGUGGUUUUAAGUUGCAUGUUGUGAAGUUACGGCAUUCGACAACUUCAGAACUUUUGUUCAAGUAAGUUUAUCUCUUCAGGAUGCCACAAAGUGUGAGCAAAAAUAAUUUAUUUAUCUCAUCUAUUUUCAAUGGAGGACAUGGCAGAAGUGGCUUGACAAACCCUUGAGGCUAUUGUCCACAUCUAAACUUAUUGAAUUAUUUGAAUUAUUUAUUCAAUUAUUAUUUAAUUAUUAUUAUAAAGGUAGGAACUUGGCCCGGGUUUAUGCUUGAAAAAAUAUUUUCAUUUACAAGUAUUUGAUGGAUGGGGCUUUUUUUUCUUCUAAAUAUGAAUUAUCUAAAUUUAAUUUGAUCUCACAAGGUUACCUGAUUAAAGAUUCCUUUGAGACGCCAUCUGUGCUGAUGUGAAAUAGAUCAUCAGACUUCUGUAGGCGGAAGACUUUUAGAAAACUGCAAAAAUGCACUCAUCACUCUGAGUGUCUUUGAAAUUCUCGCGGCUGUUCUUAAAUAAUGCACUUAACACCUGUUUGUUCUUUCGGAAACCUAAUUAAAUCUGUUGAGGAGUAAGUCCACAAAUCAUAGUUUUAAUCCUUGAAUUGAAUCCUUGAAUUGAAAUGAAUUCUUUCCAAAAACAUAAGCUGUCUGGGGGACCAGUUUGAACAAUGACUACUAUUGUUUAUUAAGCAGAGGCAAUUAUUUUUAAUUCAGAAUGUCAUGUAAAACAGGCUUGGCUGGGGGGAAAAACAGAGUUUUGCAAUGGCAUUUGGCUAAAUUUCACUGUGGUCAAAGAGUAAUUGUAUGCAGUCUUUCAAUACCAUCUGGCUAGAAAUGUUUUUCUACAAACAAAUAAACACAGUCUUAUUUUUGGUAAAUUCAUAAACAUCUGGGUGAAUGUUUUUUUUUUGUUUUAAAUAUAUAUUUUAAAAAUGUUUCACAUUUACACAUUAGCUUGAACUGAUACAAUAUAGACUGAUGUUAGCAUAGGCACAUAAAUAAUAAAAAAAUAGGUAAAUGAUUUGCGUGGGGAGGGGGUGUACAGGGUACAUUAGGUAAAUGCAGUAUAGUGGGUGAUAUCACAUAUUUCCUAUAGGCUUGAAUCAGCCCAUUUUCACCAUAGAAUGUUUUUGGUAACCUCCUGAAAUGGCUUCCCUUAUUGUGCAGUGUGGUUUGUCAGCUUAAUAUUUCCAUUAUAGCUUCACUGUUGGCAGCCUUUGACAAGUGCGGCAAUUCAAAGCAAUUUAAAUAAAAAACUUAUGAGUCUGUGGAAGUGCGAUAAAGAUCUUUCCAGGAUUAAAAUAUGAAGUUUCUUUUUCUCAAGGCAGUGAUUAAAUUAAGUUUGGCUUCAGUUCGCCGGGGGAGUGGAGAGUUUAGUCUGUCUAGGAUGGCUCACAAGGUCCCCCGCUAUAAUUUGAAAUAUAUGUGGAUAAAUCAAAAUAUCCAGCAAUCAGUGUCAGCUCUUUGUUAUGGUUUCUAAGGCUGCUGAAAACAGCAUAAGCCAAGUUUGACCAGUGAUUUAUUCAGCCUAUAAAAUGUGUUUGUCUUGCUCUAUACAUUGGGGUUGAAGAGUUAACAAGGAGGUAGCAUGUUAAGUCUGACCAUCUACUGCUGUCAGCAACAUCUGGAAAUUCAGUUUACAGAUCCGAUGCCCUAAACAUAUGUUAGGUGACAUGAUAAUCAUCCAGUGACAUAAUAAUCGUCUACAUUCAGCAUGAGCCUAUCGUGACGAUAUGUGGACUGUAUAAGGAUUCUUUUCAAGAAUUAAUAAAGCACCUUAUCUGAACUGGCUUUCACCAUUGGCUCGCUUGAUUGGAUCGUUUUAUGGCUCUUCUGCUUUUACAACCCAUAUUUACUGUAAAACUGAAAAUACUGGAGUUCUUAAUAGUUAUCGGUCCCUUAGUUUUAGUGAAGUUGUGAAAACAAAUCAUUUUUUGAAGUGUGCGCCUGCACAGAGUGACCACAGCAGGCCUCAGGUUGGGCUCCAGUGGUCAACUGAGCAGCCAUUUUCAUCCAUCAAACAUAUGGCCAUUUUUACGCAGUGGACAAAUAUCGGAACAAUGGUAAUAUUAAUAGCAAUGGCAAUCUAGCUAGCUAUAAAACCAUGUAAAAGAACAUAGCCACUUUAGCUAUCUUUGGUUUUAAUAGUAAAUGUCCUUUUUUCUGACUUGCAGAGAUUAAAUAAAUUCAUAUAACCAUAAUUAUAAUUUAUUGACAGCAGUUGCUGGUAACUAAUGGCUAACUGUACCAAUGGCCGUAGCAUUUGCAUUUUCUAAACUCGGUUAACCGUUGUAUACAGUGCUUGUAUUUGGGAAGUGCAAGCGUGGAUUUGGAUGAUUUUGUGCCACAGAGACCAAAGCAGUGUCCAAGGACUUACUGCGCCACGGAAGCCAGCACCCAUUUUUGCUAUUCAAAAGAAUAAUAAUAUAUUUUUUUAAAACAACAUAGCGUCCAGAUGGAUUCGCAAUAUCGAGGUAAAACAGAUGGUCGAGCGCAGCAUGCUUUGUAGCACAUGCACAAAUUGAGGGGUUCAUGAGGGCCUUUCCGUUUUGAGCAUCCUUUAAAGGCCCGUAGAAAGGAUGCGGAUAGCGUCCCGCGCCAGCUAUGGUAGUUAAAAACCGACGUCGCUGCCGCCUGGCAAAAUUAGGAAAACCUCACAGGAAUUUGCUUUUGCGGCUGGCUUCGGAAUAGACAAAUGUGAAAAGAGGCAAACAGAUUUGUCUUCUGAAGACGGGGAAACCAUAUCCAAAAAAAAAAAAAAAAACCUUGGAUAUUGAACCAUACUGGACGUUAUUAUUUUCAUGUUCUAAAGAAAAUAAACUAACAGACAAACUCAGAAAAGGUAGGCAAUUGUCCAGUUUUUCAUUAGCUUACAUUAUUUGUUUCCUACUUCAUGGGCAUAAUGGCUUGCUUUGCAAACCUUGCCAAUACAUACCUAUAUCGCAAUUACAAUAUUUCUUGUUUAUACAGCCUGUGACCUUUAGCUUCCAUAGCAAUUAAACAGUUUCAAAGUGAAGUGUUUUCAUGAACAGUGCAUUGAAAUGGCAACAAGAUUUCUGCAUGAAUUGUUCUGUUUAAUUUAUGACAUUUUUUCCAGAAAAGUGUUGUCGAGAAAAUAUAUCAUAGAGUUAAUUAUGCGUUUAAAUAUAAUUUAUAUUUACUUAUCAUGGACAGUCAACAUAU